rnacentral:rRNA from 1 species
UACGUAGGGUGCAAGCGUUAAUCGGAAUUACUGGGCGUAAAGCGUGCGCAGGCGGCUUUGCAAGACAGAUGUGAAAUCCCCGGGCUUAACCUGGGAACUGCAUUUGUGACUGCAUGGCUGGAGUGCGGCAGAGGGGGAUGGAAUUCCGCGUGUAGCAGUGAAAUGCGUAGAUAUGCGGAGGAACACCGAUGGCGAAGGCAAUCCCCUGGGCCUGCACUGACGCUCAUGGACGAAAGCUAGGGGAGCGAAUGGG